rnacentral:rRNA from 1 species
UUUAAUUGAAGAGUUUGAUCAUGGCUCAGAUUGAACGCUGGCGGCAGGCCUAACACAUGCAAGUCGAGCGGCAGCACAAGGGAGUUUACUCCUGAGGUGGCGAGCGGCGGACGGGUGAGUAAUGCCUAGGGAUCUGCCCAGUCGAGGGGGAUAACAGUUGGAAACGACUGCUAAUACCGCAUACGCCCUACGGGGGAAAGAGGGGGACCUUCGGGCCUC